ACGCUCGACACCUACGGGAGCAGCAGUCGGGAAUAUUGCGCAAUGGAGGAAACUCUGACGCAGUGACGCCGCGUAUAGGAAGAAGGUCUUCGGAUUGUAAACUAUUGUCGUUAGGGAAGAAAAAGGACAGUACCUAAGGAGGAAGCUCCGGCUAACUACGUGCCAACAGCCGCGGUAAUCUGAGCGGGCUGGCAAGGC
rnacentral:rRNA from 1 species